CUACGUGCCAGCAGCCGCGGUAAUACGGAAGGUCCAGGCGUUAUCCGGAUUUAUUGGGUUUAAAGGGAGCGUAGGCUGGAGAUUAAGUGUGUUGUGAAAUGUAGACGCUCAACGUCUGAAUUGCAGCGCAUACUGGUUUCCUUGAGUACGCACAACGUUGGCGGAAUUYGUCGUGUAGCGGUGGAAUGCAUAGAUAUCACGCAGAACUCCGAUUGCGAAGGCAGCUUACUAAGGUACAACUGACGCUGAAGCACGAAAGCGUGGGUAUCAAACAGGAUUAGAUACCCUGGUAGUCCACGCAGUAAACGAUGAUAACUGGGCGUAUGCGAUAUACAGUAUGCUCCUAAGCGAAAGCGUUAAGUUAUCCACCUGGGGAGUACGCCGGCAACGGUGAAACUCAAAGGAAUUGACGGGGGCCCGCACAAGCGGAGGAACAUGUGGUUUAAUUCGAUGAUACGCGAGGAACCUUACCCGGGAUUGAA
rnacentral:rRNA from 1 species